rfam:Cavia porcellus supercont2_18 genomic scaffold, whole genome shotgun sequence.
GGGGAUUUAGCUCAGCGGCAUAAGCACCUGCCUUGCAAGCAGGAGGUCAUGAGUUCGAUCCCCG